UUGAAUGUGUAAUGCCUUGCCAUUGCCAAUUUGCUUUGGAUCAUAGUUUUAUAUGUAUAGGCCUUCCUUCAUGAUUGGAGUUAGUUUUAUAUUCAGAGGCCUUCUUUCAUGAUUGGAGUUCCCUUCUGAAUGUUCUGACUACAACAAAGAUUUUGGUAUCAAAAUCUUCACAUUCAGACUUCGUUUUAUCGUAAUUGUAACAUGAUCUGCAACAGUGUUCUGAAGCUUUUAUGCAUACUCGGAUGAGACGUCGUGUGGACUCGUUGAUUCAGGCUCUGGAUCGUGCAAAACCAGAAUCGGAGAAGUCUGAAGAAUGUGCAGAAAACAGAUCCUUCAGAGGAAUGAGCAUCAACAACAUAGAUAAUACUUUUCAGAGCUCCAAAAACAUGGAUCAUAAUUCUCAGAGCUUCAAGAUCACAGAUAAUACUUCUCAGAGUUCCAAGAACAUAAAUCACACUUUUCGGAGCUUCAAGUAAAUAGAUUGACUCAAUGAAAAUUAGGAACUGCUUGACAGAAAUGUAAUAAAUUUUGCUCCUGGUGAAGACUUAGAGUGGUGAUCAUUAAUCAUCAUGUGGUUUUUCUUUGUUA